rnacentral:lncRNA from 1 species
AGUGGCCACGGCAACGGUGGCCUUCAAGCCACACCAAUCACCCUUGAAUAAAGGCAGUAGGAAGGCAUCCUGGGCCCGAGGCAGUCUGAACAGGUCAUAGGAGAAGGCGCCCUACCCGCCCGUUUCCGGACUUCAGCUGUACACGGUCAUCUAAGGCGUACGCAUUCCUUCUAAGACCAUGGUUCUUAUAGCCUGAGAACUGCAUCAUUCUGAACUGGGGGCUUUGGAGAGCAAUCCCUCUGUGCGAUCUCACCACCCUCGGGAGAGAAGAAACGGGACAGGACGGCAGGCCUGGGGAGGCCCAGUGACCUGUGGACGGUCCGGGGCCUGCAGUCCUCACGCACAUCUGACAUGCUCCCCGCUGCAUCCUGGGAGACGUGAGCUCCCCUAGACGUCUGCUUGCCGAAUGAGGCGGGAGACCUAGGCCUGUCAAGGAGACAUGGGUCAGCACGAGAGAGAAGCCGGGAACAAACACCAACCAGCAAGCGACAGAAGCUUCCAGUGAGGAGGAUCCCUGGCCUCCCGGAUCUGCAGGCCGGGGACAGAGGAGGGGCCUACGGAGGCAGGCUUUUCUGGGUGUCCGCUCAGGUGAGGCGACGUGAAACAGGCUUGGGGAAUCACAUCCUUCCUGCUUUUGUUUCUGAGUCUUGGAGAAUGAGCUGAGUUUAAUGUUGAAAAUAAUCUUCGACUUUCGAAAUCAAAGACGAUUCUUCCGCAAACAUUUGUCUGCAAACUCUGAGGAGGGUCCUGGUGCGAAGCCAGAGGCCGCGCUCUCUCUGCGCUUAUAGCCAGGUGACCUCGAGUGUGGCCCUGACCGUGACCACGCCCACCUGCAGACUCGGGCACAGCACCUGUGUUCUCAGAGGCUUCAUCUGGAGGCCCGUAUGAUAUAACACAUGUUAGUGUGCUUUGUGAGUCUAAAUUUGGACACAAAUGUGGGUUAUUACUAUUAUUGAUCAUUAGUCUUUUUUACAUUUGAUACAAUGUAAAUAAAAAACAAUUUUCUAAGAAAAAAGUACUUUUU